UUGACUGGGGCGGUCUCCUCCUAAAGAGUAACGGAGGAGCACGAAGGUUGGCUAAUCCUGGUCGGACAUCAGGAGGUUAGUGCAAUGGCAUAAGCCAGCUUGACUGCGAGCGUGACGGCGCGAGCAGGUGCGAAAGCAGGUCAUAGUGAUCCGGUGGUUCUGAAUGGAAGGGCCAUCGCUCAACGGAUAAAAGGUACUCCGGGGAUAACAGGCUGAUACCGCCCAAGAGUUCAUAUCGACGGCGGUGUUUGGCACCUCGAUGUCGGCUCAUCACAUCCUGGGGCUGAAGUAGGUCCCAAGGGUAUGGCUGUUCGCCAUUUAAAGUGGUACGCGAGCUGGGUUUAGAACGUCGUGAGACAGUUCGGUCCCUAUCUGCCGUGGGCGCUGGAGAACUGAGGGGGGCUGCUCCUAGUACGAGAGGACCGGAGUGGACGCAUCACUGGUGUUCGGGUUGUCAUGCCAAUGGCACUGCCCGGUAGCUAAAUGCGGAAGAGAUAAGUGCUGAAAGCAUCUAAGCACGAAACUUGCCCCGAGAUGAGUUCUCCCUGAGACUUUAGGUCUCCUGAAGGAACGUUGAAGACGACGACGUUGAUAGGCCGGGUGUGUAAGCGCAGCGAUGCGUUGAGCUAACCGGUACUAAUGAACCGUGAGGCUUAACCUU
rnacentral:rRNA from 1 species